rnacentral:rRNA from 1 species
UUCAACGGCCGCGGUAUCCUAACCGUGCGAAGGUAGCGUAAUCACUUGUUCUUUAAAUGAGGACUAGUAUGAAUGGCCCCACGAGGACUACACUGUCUCCUUUCUCUAAUCAAUGAAACUAAUCUCCCCGUGAAGAAGCGGGGAUAAACAUAUAAGACGAGAAGACCCUAUGGAGCUUUAAACAACAGGAGUACCUGCUUAUCCCUUACCACCUCCCGAAAUCUAAACUAACCCAAGCAUCUUAACUCCAAGUUUUAGGUUGGGGUGACCACGGAGAAUAAACUAACCUCCAUGUUGAAACGAGUACCUCUAAGCACAAAGCCACAACUUUAAGCAUCAACAAAUUGACCUCCAUUGACCCAAUAAAUUGACCAACGAACCAAGUUACCCUAGGGAUAACAGCGC